AAUGACUGAUGAUGCUGAGAAUCUUUUCAUGUGCUUGUUGGCCGUUUGUACAUCUUCUUUGGAGAAAUUUCUCUUCGUGUCUUUUGUCUAUUUUAUUUUUUUGGGACAGAGUCUCACUCCUAACCCCGGGCUGGAGUGCAGUGGCACGAUCUCCACGCACUACAAUUCUUGUACCUCAGCCUCCCAAGUAGCUGGGAUUACAGGCGCACGCCACCACCCAGCUCAUUUUUGUAUUUUUAGUAGAGGUGGAGUUUUUUGUAGAGAUUGUGUCUCCCUGUGUUGCUCAGGCUGGUCUUGAACUCCUGGGCUCAAACUAUCCUCCCGCCUUAACCUCCCAAAGUGCUGGGAUUACAGGUGUGAGCCAUGGCACCCAGCCCUAGAAUGAUUUUUUAGUUUCCCUUUAAACUUUAUUUUUUUAUUCACUGUAGUGUGGUGGACGGUGGUGCCCCAAAACUUCACAACCACCUAGACAUUCGGAAGGUGACCUUAUUUGGAAUAAGAGAUUUUGCAGAUAUAAUUGAGUUAAAGAUCUGAGGAUGAAAUCAUCAUGAAUUUAGGGUAGGCCGUAAAUCCAAUGACUGACAUACUUACAAGAAGACAAGAGGACACAGGCACCCGGGGGAAGAGGCCGUAGGAGACCCAGGCAGAGAUUUGGAGCGGUGCCCAUGCCAGGGAUCUCCAGGAGGAGCCAGAAGCUGGAAGAGGCCCUGCAGAUCCUCUCCCAGAGCCUUUGGAGGAGGCACAACCCUAUCCACACCUUGGUCUCCACCUUCUGGCCUCCAGAGCUGUAGGGGAACCCACUUCUGUGGUUUGAAGCCACCAAGUUCGUGGUGACUUAUGGCAGCCCUAGGAAAGUGACAUGCACAGGUAAACCACAUUCACUGCAGAAAAUAUACAAAUCAGCAAAAAGAAAAAAAGCACACAGGGGCACCACCCCCAGAGACAGCCAUCGCUGACAUCCUAGCGGCUGUCACCUCGGAGUGAUGUUCGUAAAAUGCAAACUUCUGAACUGCUUAAAACUCUUCCAGACACCCUCAGGUUGACAUCACAACUCCUUUGUUGGGCCUUCCAGGGCUGGUCCUUCCCGUGGCCUCUUUUCCCUCCGCUCUGUGACAAUCCAUGACGGGCACACUUGCCUAUGCUUGUUCUCCCAGGCAGUGGCCUUGUGUGGGCCUUCAGCUUCCAGUUCCAUGGCCUGGUGGAGGACCCUGUGGUGCAAGCAUUCCUCCAGACCCCCCUGGCCUGGGGCCCAAGACUGGGAAGCCUUUGAAGAUUUCAGUUUGUAAGUAGUGAGAGCAAUGAUCUUGGCUUUGCAUGGUGCUCAGGAAGCCUUCCCCACUCCCAAACCAGAAAGGCAUCCAUCCAGAUUUUCCUCCACUGUCUGGAUGGCGGCUCUGUGGAUGUUUCCAUCUGUAUCCAUUGCCGGCACCUGGUGAGAUUCCGUCUCUAGAGCCUUUGAGGUCACUCCUGAUGCUGACAUGGCUGUGAAGAGCUGGGUGCCAGGCAUUACUGCCUCCAAGGUUGCUUUGCGAGGAAUAGGUGGGGCAUCAGGAAGAAGCCAGUUGCAGGCAAGGCCUCUGCUGAUGCUGCUUUUUUCUCCUGUAGCCAUCCAUGGGAGGGAGCUGUGAGAUGGCCUGGCAGAACCCGCUCUCGGACCCCACAGAAUGAGAGGCUCACCCUGCACAGGAACAUCCUGGGGCAGCAGGCUCAGCACAUUUUAAAUUUUGAGUAUGAACAAAGUAAACUUCAGGGUUAAAAAAAAAACACAAAAAUUUGUCGAGC
rnacentral:antisense_RNA from 1 species